rnacentral:rRNA from 1 species
GAACCUGCGGAGGGAUCAUUACAAGAACGCCCGGGCUUCGGCCUGGUUAUUCAUAAUCCUUUGUUGUCCGACUCUGUUGCCUCCGGGGCGACCCUGCCUUCGGGCGGGGGCUCCGGGUGGACACUUCAAACUCUUGCGUAACUUUGCAGUCUGAGUAAACUUAAUUAAUAAAUUAAAACUUCUAACAACGGAUCUCUUGGUUCUGGCAUCGAUGAAGAACGCAGCGAAAUGCGAUAAGUAAUGUGAAUUGCAGAAUUCAGUGAAUCAUCGAAUCUUUGAACGCACAUUGCGCCCCCUGGUAUUCCGGGGGGCAUGCCUGUUCGAGCGUCAUUUCACCACUCAAGCCUCGCUUGGUAUUGGGCAACGCGGUCCGCCGCGUGCCUCAAAUCGUCCGGCUGGGUCUUCUGUCCCCUAAGCGUUGUGGAAACUAUUCGCUAAAGGGUGUUCGGGAGGCUACGCCGUAAAACAACCCCAUUUCUAAGGUUGACCUCGGAUCAGGUAGGGAUACCCGCUGAACUUAAGCAUAUCA